UUGAAGAGUUUGAUCAUGGCUCAGAUUGAACGCUGGCGGCAGGCCUAACACAUGCAAGUCGAGCGGUAGCACAGGAGAGCUUGCUCUCUGGGUGACGAGCGGCGGACGGGUGAGUAAUGUCUGGGAAACUGCCUGAUGGAGGGGGAUAACUACUGGAAACGGUAGCUAAUACCGCAUAACGUCUACGGACCAAAGUGGGGGACCUUCGGGCCUCACGCCAUCAGAUGUGCCCAGAUGGGAUUAGCUAGUAGGUGGGGUAAUGGCUCACCUAGGCGACGAUCCCUAGCUGGUCUGAGAGGAUGACCAGCCACACUGGAACUGAGACACGGUCCAGACUCCUACGGGAGGCAGCAGUGGGGAAUAUUGCACAAUGGGCGCAAGCCUGAUGCAGCCAUGCCGCGUGUGUGAAGAAGGCCUUAGGGUUGUAAAGCACUUUCAGCGAGGAGGAAGGGUAGUGUGUUAAUAGCACAUUGCAUUGACGUUACUCGCAGAAGAAGCACCGGCUAACUCCGUGCCAGCAGCCGCGGUAAUACGGAGGGUGCAAGCGUUAAUCGGAAUUACUGGGCGUAAAGCGCACGCAGGCGGUUUGUUAAGUCAGAUGUGAAAUCCCCGCGCUUAACGUGGGAACUGCAUUUGAAACUGGCAAGCUAGAGUCUUGUAGAGGGGGUAGAAUUCCAGGUGUAGCGGUGAAAUGCGUAGAGAUCUGGAGGAAUACCGGUGGCGAAGGCGGCCCCCUGGACAAAGACUGACGCUCAGGUGCGAAAGCGUGGGGAGCAAACAGGAUUAGAUACCCUGGUAGUCCACGCUGUAAACGAUGUCGAUUUGGAGGUUGUGCCCUUGAGGCGUGGCUUCCGGAGCUAACGCGUUAAAUCGACCGCCUGGGGAGUACGGCCGCAAGGUUAAAACUCAAAUGAAUUGACGGGGGCCCGCACAAGCGGUGGAGCAUGUGGUUUAAUUCGAUGCAACGCGAAGAACCUUACCUACUCUUGACAUCCAGAGAAUUCGCUAGAGAUAGCUUAGUGCCUUCGGGAACUCUGAGACAGGUGCUGCAUGGCUGUCGUCAGCUCGUGUUGUGAAAUGUUGGGUUAAGUCCCGCAACGAGCGCAACCCUUAUCCUUUGUUGCCAGCGAUUCGGUCGGGAACUCAAAGGAGACUGCCGGUGAUAAACCGGAGGAAGGUGGGGAUGACGUCAAGUCAUCAUGGCCCUUACGAGUAGGGCUACACACGUGCUACAAUGGCGUAUACAAAGAGAAGCGAACUCGCGAGAGCAAGCGGACCUCAUAAAGUACGUCGUAGUCCGGAUUGGAGUCUGCAACUCGACUCCAUGAAGUCGGAAUCGCUAGUAAUCGUAGAUCAGAAUGCUACGGUGAAUACGUUCCCGGGCCUUGUACACACCGCCCGUCACACCAUGGGAGUGGGUUGCAAAAGAAGUAGGUAGCUUAACCUUCGGGAGGGCGCUUACCACUUUGUGAUUCAUGACUGGGGUGAAGUCGUAACAAGGUAACCGUAGGGGAACCUGCGGUUGGAUCACCUCCUU
rnacentral:rRNA from 2 species